rnacentral:antisense_RNA from 1 species
CAGGACGAGCCGCAGACAAAACUCCUCAGACACCAGAUUAAAGAAGGAAGGAACUUUAUUCGGCAGACUUGCGUCUCAAAAGCCGAGCUCCCCAAAAUUAUAUGAAAGAAAAAAAAUCUCAUUUUACCAGGGAGAAACUGAACCAUUCUGACCUCUGGUUAUGGCUGUCUUCCAAACAGUUUAUAUAACCUGUCUGGGAAAUUGGAGAUUGUUCAUAUCUAACUCUGCAGUUACAAAAGGACCAUGUCUCAUGGAAUUAUCCACGCUCAGAUCUUCCGCAUGGCUCAAAACCAUUUUUGGGAUAUGAGACAGGGUCUCACUAUGUUGCCCAGGCUGGUCUCAAACUCCUGGCCUCAAGAGAUCCUCCCACUUUGGACUCCUAGGAUUACAGUCGUGAGCCACCAUGCCGCCUCUGUCAAGUCUUAUUACUUUAAACUAUUUACCUCUGUUUGUUUAUAUAUACUUACAUACUCUGAUGUUUUAAAAGAAUGUACAGUGAAAAUUAAGUCUCCUUCCCACCCCCUGCACCCUGGGUACCCAGGAUCCUUUCUUAACAACCACUGUUACCAGUUUAUUGUUAACAUAGGGUUUAAUGCGCUAGAAAUGUAGUAUUAGAGCACCAUCAAAAUAGUAACAGAGUGCUGUAUAUCUCCCCUGUAAGAGUCACAGCCCACACCUCUACAACAAACACAGGUUAACAAGAGAAAAGCAAAACAGCAGGGCACAGUGGCUCACGUCUGUAAUCCCAGCACUUUGGGAGGCUGAAGUGGGAGGAUUGCUUGAGGCCAGUAGUUCAAGGCUGCAAGUCAGCUAUAAUUGCACUACUGCACUCUAGCCUGGGUGACAGAGCAAGAGACUCCACCUCUA